rnacentral:rRNA from 1 species
AACGAACGCUGGCGGCAUGCUUAACACAUGCAAGUCGAACGGUCUUAUGGGGCUUGCUCCAUAAGAUAGUGGCAGACGGGUGAGUAACACGUGGGAACGUACCCUAAGGUUCGGAAUAACAGUUGGAAACGACUGAUAAUACCGGAUAUCUCCGAGAGGAGAGAGGUUUACCGCCUUGGGAGCGGCCCGCGUCUGAUUAGGUAGUUGGUGAGGUAAAGGCUCACCAAGCCGAUGAUCAGUAGCUGGUUUGAGAGAAUGAUCAGCCACACUGGGACUGAGACACGGCCCAGACUCCUACGAGAGGCAGCAGUGGGGAAUAUUGGACAAUGGGGGAAACCCUGAUCCAGCAAUGCCGCGUGAGUGAAGAAGGCCUUCGGGUUGUAAAGCUCUUUUGUCCGUGACGAUAAUGACGGUAGCGGACGAAUAAGCACCGGCUAACUUCGUGCCAGCAGCCGCGGUAA